AUCUCGUUCACAAUCUCGCUUUUCAUUUCGUUCUCGUUCACGAUCCCGAUUUCUCUUCUAGGGUUCCUGCUUCCCUGCGCCGUUCAACUUCUCGUCCUCCACCGCCGCCACCGCCACCGCCACUGCUUCAUCGCGUGCCUCUUCCAGCCGCCAUCGCUCGCACCUCUUCCUCUGUUCUUGUUCGUGACUGUGUCCUUGGAGAGCAAAGCUAAUCCAUAACGUCCACGGCGGCGCGGUUACCUCUUCCACGGCGGCGCAAGGCUGCGACUCUGCUUCCAUAUCGACAAUUGACUCACGCUCAUUGCCUCACUCUGUUGCAUUUCCAUUUAGGCUUGUUCGACGAGUAUUGAUUCAUUUUAUCAUUGAUUAGGGUUUAACGUUGUGAUUUGAUGCUACAAUUGUAAUUUCAGAAACUAUUCUCUCUUGAAGUUCUCUGGUUUGUGGAUUUCCUCUUUGAAGCUCUUCGUUCAUACUCUUCCAUCUCAAGGAAAUUUAGCCAAGCUCUACAUGUAAAUUCAAUGCUUCAAAGGCUUUAAUGUUGCAGUAAUGCAAAGAUUGGGGUUUCAAUUGAAGCCUAAUGUCAGGUUUUUCUUCUCUUUUUCAGCAUUGAUGUUUCUUUGGCAAUACUAGUCACUCUUAUCUCAUUCCUGAAAGCUCAGUGAUACUUUGUGUUUUCCUUUUAUGUACUUAUCUUGUAGAGUGCACUUUUCCAGCUCUAAAGGUAAUCUGACUAUUGAAUUCUGCACAAAUAUCAACAAUGAUACAGUUGAAGAAUAGAGCAUUUACUAUAUCAACAAUUUUGCUUUUGCGGUGGCUUGAUGAGUACUUAUCUUGUAGAUGUUUUCUGGUGUUUCCAUUAGAUGCUUUCCUGCCUUUUAUUUGUUUAUCAGCAGCUACAGGAUGACAUUAGUUUACUAAAACACUUGACUCAUAAUCAGCUAUACUGCAUCAUGUUGUCCUUGUUCAUCCUCCUCACUUGACUUAAAUUAGUUACUAUAGUAUAUCAGUUUUUUGGUUACUUCAUCUGUAUUCCUUUCAUUCCCGUCCAGGUACCUUUUGAAGAAGUUCAUGCCAGAGUCAGCUCAAGGUAAUUUCUUUCAUCUUAGCUGAAUUGCAGUGCAGUUUCUUUUAUAGUACUUUUGAUUUGCAGUGGCUUGCAAAUUAGAUAGGCACUUCAGCUACAAUUGUAGUAUACAACUUAUUUGAAAUUCUUGGCUUGUUUGGCAUUUAAGUUUUCAAUGGAUUAACAAUGGUAGAAGAUAAUCUUAGAGUGUUUUUACCUACCUGACACUCAUAUUUAAUAUAAUUUUGCAGAUUGGGUACCAGUUUUGUUAAAUUCACUGAUUUUGCGGGUAUCUAAUAUCUAUCUUCGCUUUCAAUUUCAUUCCCUAAAAUAGUUGUUGUCUUUUUUAUCAGUUAUGGUAUGUUGUCCACUCCUAUCUGUUUCAACUUAAAUGUUUAGGCCAUCCAGUGCUAGCUCAACUGAACAGCCUACAUGUCCUAUCUGCCUCGGUACAUACCCCUUACUACUAUUCAUGUAUUUUUUAUUUCUAGUUUAUAGAUACUUGAGGUAGUUCAUAGAUACUUGAGGUGCAUUUAGAUAAACAACUCAAUCAAACACUUAUGCCAAUAAGUACAUAUUUUAUUAGUGGUUAUUCGUAAGAUUAUUUGAGAAAAUAAGCUUAAAAAAAACAUAUAUGCAGAGCUUAUUCUUAAGUUAAUAUAAGAUGCUUAAUAUAUAGGUACUAGGUAGGUUAUGAUCCAUCUUUGUUAUUAUUUAUUUUGUAGUUGCAGAGUGCACUAGUUGGUUCAUACAAAGGUAGAUGCCAUUGUUUAAUACACCCGACACCAUUUUAGGUUUUUUUCUUUACAACUGUGUUUAUCCAUCUAUAAUCCAUUAUGAUGAUUGUGGGAUCACUGAUUAUCAUAUUUUUUUAUAUUGUGUUCAGAAAAUAAAUUGCACUAGAAAAAUCUGAUCAAUCUGCAAGACAAAAAGUUACUGGUUUUCGGGUAAUAUCAUGAUUCACAGCAGUGCUAUAUUUGAUAUGCUCUAUCAGGGAAUAUCUCAUCUCUUUUUUUUAUAAGUAGUUGUUGAAAAGUUUAUCCAAACCUGUGCAUAAUGAAAGUUAUGGCAGAAACCAAUUUGAGGGAAGGAAUGACAAGCCUCUUUGCAAUGAGAGACAGUAGUGCAGAGUGGUUUUUCUACAAGUACAUGAUGGGGUUUUAGAAUGAUUGAUUUUGUCCAUGAGAAUCCAAGUUAUAAUUUUGAUUCACAGCCUUGCUGACAGCUUUGUUAUUUGGUGCGCCAAUUGGAUUGGAGUUGUUGGAGCUGCUGGGCUUUACUUGGUGUCAUUAGAAAGAAUAGACAUUUAGACACAUUUUGAUAUGUAACUCAUUUACUAUUAUUACUAUGCCCCAUUUUGAUAUGUACCCUAUUUUUCCACACUUGUUUGCUUCUGUGUCAAUUUUAAAAAAUUCUCUAUUGAAUA